UUUGUGCAAGACAUAUUACAUUUGUUGACUGAUAAGAAUAUCUGAUUUGCAGAGUGCUUCCUAAGGGGGUCCUGCUCCCUCCUGACAUCCUGUGUUCCCCUUUUUGUUCCCUAUCUAAAUGUUUCAGGAUUAGCAGACUAUUGCAUCAUCCACAUUUGUCAUCUGUUUCUUACCCUUAAGAAGCUUAAAGAAUUGUCCUUGCUAAAUACAAAUUCUCACAAACAUGAAAUGAGUGAUUGGUAUGAAUUGAUCUAAGCAGUUUCACUAUAUUUUAGGAACAUCUAUAUGGGCCAGUGUUUCAGGAUUCCUGAGACUUGGUGACUCAAAAUAUCCAUUAUCCAAAAGAAGGCUAUGAAUUUACAAGGAAGAAUUAAACCAGUCAGGGAAGAUUCUGGCUGAUGGCCACGUGGACCAUUAAUGAGUGAAUGGGCUCUGCUGAGAAGGCUUGUCCUCACACCAUGACAGCUGAUGAGUCAGAAGCUGGAGAGUUAACUCUGGAGCCCUUGCUCACCUGCAAGCUAUGUCUCUGUGAAUAUUCCCUGGAUAAGAUGACCACUCUUCAGGAAUGCAGCUGCAUCUUUUGUACAUCGUGCCUAAAACAGUACAUGCAGCUGGCAAUUCAAGAAGGUUGUGGUUCUCCUAUCACGUGUCCAGACAUGGUAUGCUUGAGCCAUGGGACCCUACAAGAAGCAGAGAUUGCCUGUUUGGUGCCUGUUGACCAGUUUCAGUUAUACAAGAGGCUGAAGUUUGAACGAGAAGUCCACUUGGACCCCCAGAGAACAUGGUGCCCUGCAGUUGACUGCCAAGCAGUGUGCCAUAUUACACCGAGUGAGUCCGGAGCUCCGGUGCCAGUGGAGUGCCCGGCUUGCUGCCAGACAUUCUGCUCCUCUUGCAAGGAGGCAUGGCACCUGAAGCACCUAUGCCAGGAAAACCAAACUGCUCCAGUACCAACUGAGCAGGGGUUACUUAUUGGAACGGAGACAGACGCACCAAUUAAGCAGUGCCCAGUCUGUCGCAUCUAUAUUGAACGAAACGAGGGCUGUGCUCAGAUGAUGUGCAAGAACUGCAAGCACACAUUUUGCUGGUACUGUCUACAAAACUUGGAUAAUGAUAUCUUCUUAAGACAUUACGACAGAGGCCCUUGCAGAAACAAGUUGGGCCACUCGCGUGCUUCGGUGAUGUGGAACAGAACACAGGUUGUGGGGAUCCUCGUUGGACUAGGUAUCAUAGCAUUGGUGACUUCUCCCUUGCUGCUUGUGGCAUCUCCAUGCAUCAUCUGCUGCAUUUGCAAAUCUUGCAGAAGUAAAAAGAAAAAACACAGCCCGCCAACAACCUAAAACUCUGUGUCUGAGCCUCCAUUUGUACAGCAUAUGUAUGUGAGAAAGCACAAUGGUUGCAUUUGGUGCCAUACCUACCAAAUAGUACUCCCUUUUUUGCCAAUUCUUGGGAUAAGUGCCUAUUCUUUACAGGCUACUCUAUCACUAACAAGUCCCAGUGUGGGAAAAGUCUAGAUAAUUGUGCAGUACAUAUGUAUAAGUUUUAUAAAAGGAAAAUGGGACACCGUUCAGCUUAAAUAUGAGCUGUCUUUUGAGACUGCUAGAACUUCAUCAUCUUCUGUCAGCUGCACAUGACUUGAUCCUGCAGUAUUAUUCUGCAUUUGCAGACCCAGUCCUUAACUGUCAUGCUUUCUAUUGGCUCUUGGUGACACACAGAUUUCUCAGAAAGUUUUCGUAUUUUAUAAAAGGGGGAGAGGGAAAAGCCUGAAGAAGCUCUUCUGCCUGCUAGCUUGUGUCCCCUUAAAGGUAACAAACUGUUAAGAAAACAUAUUUGACAGUUUCCUGUCAGCUGGCUGCCAUGGCAUUUCUUUCAGCAUUGAAAUCAAUUUAACUAACUUAUACUAUUGGUCUCAAUUACAGAGGUAAAACCCAACAAAACUAUUUCUAAGGUAGGGCUCUCUUCUGAGAGACUGGACUACCUUGAGAAAGCUGUUGUUUUUUCAGCUCAAACAUGACGUCUACCUUGAAAUAUUAGAAGUAUGUGUAUUUCCCCGUCAUUGGGCAUGGCUUUUGUCAGUAACAUGGGUGUAGUAAACUUACCAUGACACUAAUACUAAGAAAGGCCAUGAUACAGCUCCUGUUUUAUGUGCAGUUUUCAAAUAUUGGUUGUGCAUAUAUAGAGUGGCCACAUGUGCAUGAAUAUACCGAGGACAUAAUGCACAGUUUAUUUUCCAGUCAGUCAGUAUAUUUUUUCAACAGUUUACAUGGGGUGGCAUUAAGAACCCUGUUAAAAACUGAUUCAGGCCAAACUAAGCCAAACUCUCCUUUAAACCUUAUGGACCUGCUGAAGUGAAUACUUGGGAAAUGCUGUGUAAAUGUAAGAUCUGUCCAUUGGUGGGUAUUUCUUCUGUCCGACUCGAGGUUAACAACUUCUGUGACUGAUAAUUUUUAGUUACUUUAAAUCUGAAAGGCUGUCAUUUAAUGAACCCUUCAUUUUAAUUUGAUGCCUCACUACCAAACUGAUUCAGACCCUGGUAUCAAUUACACCUGUUCACUGAAGAGCUGGAGUUACUCCAGGCUCUGCUUCCUGGAGUUUAUUUCCUUAAUGGCUGGUACUUCUCACAACCCUGGCCGGUGGUAGCUUUUGUUUUGGACUCCUAUCUUUGGAUUUUAUAUCUGUGAGAACUAAUAUGAGUUUGCACUAUAUAAUCUGUUGUAAUUCCAAACCCCUUUCGAUAAGAGAUGCUCAGCCCGAGCAUCAUCUUGGGCUCACCCUCCACCGAUCUGCCCUCCUCCACACACACAGCAUGAGGCACCCGAAGAGUGCUGCGAGGAGUGUCUUUGCUGUUGUGUUUGGCCGAGCCUCAGGAACUUUGCCUUAUUGGCAGCUGUAAAUGUGACCUUUUUUGUUUAACUUCGCUCUCUGGUUACUGUAACAGAAGUGAUAGAUGUUCUUACUUUAAGAAAGUAUAGUCUGUUGAGCAGACUAGCAGGGAAAAAGGCCUUAAAUGAUAUUGUCUGUUUUACUUUUUAAUUGAUUUCUUUUAUAAAUACUGUCUGACUUUGCUACCAGUCAUGACUGGAGGGCAGGUGGUGCUCGCCAGUGUGAAAGGCUAAAUUUAUUUUCAUCCACAGCUGCAAAGGGAAGCAGAAAGGUAGUCAGUACAUUCUAAAUACAGAGUGCAAUGCAGGUAACUGCCAUUUGUAAUAAACAGAGAAUGUUUUCUGUAUGUAUUUUCUUUAAGAGCGGUAAUGAUAGUGCUUGGGGGUACUUGCAACAGAUUAAAGCAUCCAGCCCUUGGCUUUGCACUAUUUUUAUACCUACAUUUUUAUGGCACUACUGUCCUUGCCAUUUUAUUUAUGAACUUGCAGUUGGAAGUCUUUAGUGAAGCCUCGAGGACAAAGAUACGGGAGCUGUACAGUCUCUUUAACCAUAACCAGCAUUGCAAUGUACCAAUAUCCUUUGCAUGUUAAAAUUUGUAGGUUUUUCAUAUCUUGUGGUUUUACCUAUGUCCAAUGCACUCUCUGCUAGCCUGGUUUAUUUCCUUGUCCUCUUCCUCUUUCCCUUAUCCUUUUUUUGCUAAAAUGCCUAAGGGAAUGAAGGUGUCUCUCAUGUUUUUUUCGUUAAUACUGCUGUGUUAAUGAAACUGCCAAGUUCUUCCCUCUGUUAAAGAAAUACAGCUGAAGGCAGUUGUCUUGUCCAGAAUACACUAACGGACACAAGGUCACCAUUUGUAUUGUAAUACAAAUUCGACCCUUUUCAGUUCCUUAAAUGAUUUCUUAAAGUUAAUGCAGAUCUCUCCAAAGAGUGGGAAUUUGUUUAAAUUAUAAAAUUUUAUAAAAGCAUUGCAUACGUGCAUAGCUGUAAAUCUUGGGAGAACGACACUAUUCAGUUUAUUUUUAACUCCUCAGUUUGAGUGCAGGGUAAGUCAUUCCAGAGACUAAUUCCUACAGAGCAGAAGGACGGUGUGUCUUUUCCAUGUGCACAUUUUAUUGCUGGUGCCAGUUUAGGUGCCAGGUGGGGGUACCAAAAGUGGUAGAAACUUAGUGUGCAGGUUUUAGGACAACCUGAAAACCAGGACGCCCGUCCAGGCAUCUAAGGAACUUGUAUGCAGAUCGGUAGCAUUGGACCAGGUUUCCGUUGGGGGUCUUUACGUAAAAGCUGGAUAAGGAGAGCAUGAGCUACAGGCACACCUUCCUUUGCCAUAUAGAUACAAUAGAUUGACCAAGACAGAAGCUCGAGUAAUAUGUUAGAACUCAAAAUAGAAGUCUUAUGAAGAUUAUUUUCUUUUAAAGGCUGUGUCCUGGCUUUUCAUUGCAUGGGAAUACUUGAGCAUGUGCAUUAAGUAGACUCUGACCUGGCCAGCUUAUGCGGCCAUGCUAACUCUGCCAAGUAGAGUUGUACUUGUGCUGCAGUGCUGAGAGCAGUAAGGCCCUGUUGUUUUCCAUAAAGCAGCUAUUUUGCACCAAAUGGUCACGCUCACAGAGUUUCCAGAGAACCAUUUUAGCGAGAACCUUUAUAUGGUGUUGGGAUUUGGUUUUGUUUUGUGGGUUUUUUUUAAGCUUUAUAAGAAAAAUUAAAGGAACUUUAUGAAAGAUUUAUUGGAAGCAUGACAAAUAAUACAGAAAUUAGGGAGAAAGAAACAAAACUGGGACCCUGAUUACUCGUGACUCUUCUAAAUCAGUGUAGACAUAAAUCUACCCUCUAGAACUCCAUCUGUGUGAUGUUCAUGUUAGUACCAGGCUUCACUGCUUUUACCAUCUCUCUCCUUUCCCCUGUGGCAGGUGGCUGGUGUGCAGGUAGCAGCCAGGGGAUAGCUCAGAGCUGUGGCAGGGCAGGGUGCUGCUCAGGAGCUGGGGUCUAUUAACACACUGCCCACCCUGGCUCCAUCACCAAUUUUCCCUGGGGCCUUUAACCACUGAGAGAGACUUUGGGGAUUUUAGGCCGGUUACAUUACCUGAGUCCACAAAUGUCUGUCUCCCUUGGAGAACAAAAGUGACAACUACAGUAUUCCCUCUGAACCAGGGGCAUUCAGCCCUUCUGAAAACUGGGCUCUAGAUAUUUAAAGGUCAGAUUGUAAAACUAGAGACCAGUGCUGGAAAUCUGGAUUUUUACGGCAGUUGGCUAGACAUCUCCGUGGUCACAUAUCUCAUUGUAAUUUCCCAGCAGUUGCUGGAGCUGUGUCAAAUACAGCUGAGGAUCCAACUUGGCAUCUUAUGUCCUUGUGUUAAAAUGAGGAUGAUAAUACCUGUUUCCAGAACCACCUGUUAAUAAAAAGAAAAUAUUUGUCAUGCUGUAGCAUAAGUACUACCCCGCAGUAUUUAUUCUAGAACUAUAGGAAAUGGUCAAUGCUGCCUUUCAGUAAUUCAUGAUUUAUUAAUCGUGCAUGGUGUUACUUACCCCAAACAAGGGCAUGAGGGGAACGGUAAUUAAUGUUUUUACGGUGCUUUAAUGUUGCUAAAUGCUACUUACUGUUGUCUGUCCAGUACAUAGCAUGAAGUCCAAAGUUAAGUUUAAAAUGUACGUAAGUUUUACUUGAAUGAACUAUGAGAAAAUGAAUAUUGCCUUCAUAUUUGCUUGAAAAUACACAAGUGGAGAGAUAUCAACUGCAUUUCCACAAUGGGACAACAAAAUCAAGUUUUGGCUGCUUUGUUCUCUGGUAUCACAGUGAGUGGUUGUGUUGUAGUGCGCCUGCCGCUUUAAAACUUUGAAAUCUAUUUUGCACUGUAAUCUCUUUCUUGCAGCCACUCUCAUCUUUCUCAAAAAAGUUCCUUUUAAGAUCGUAUUUUUCAUCCUCUAUCUCAGGUUAGAGAAUCUUAGUAGAUUUCUUUGUAUGAGGAUAAAAACCUUCCACACAGUUUUCUCACA